GCAUGGUCAUGGAUUGAUGGUGGGCCCUUCUUUGUGGGCCUCUCAUAUUGUACCCGUGCCAGAGGAGUGUGCAGCCCUGAACCAUUGCCCAGUCUCCUCUCUGGUGGUCUGUGAGCACUGAAGGGGGCUGUACAGUG